AAUCAUGGCGACCUCCACUGAAAGCUCGGAGUGCAGCGAGAGCACUCUGAGGAGAAGACGCGGAGAACCGCAGAGCUCUGAAGUUAGCUCAGAGGAUAGCAGCAAAGAACCAGUAAACGAAGACAAGUCCAAGUAUGAGAAACAUGAGCCCGUUUCUUUACGUCCCGGGACAUACUGGCUCACUCGUAUCGUGCUGCUGCGCGCGAUUGCAUUCAUCUAUUUUGUUGCCUUCAGUGUGGCGUUGCAUCAGAACAAGCAGCUGAUUGGUCAGAAGGGCCUGAUGCCCUGCAAGGACUACCUGCGCAGCGUCAAGCGCUACGUGGGGGGCAAGAUUGGCAUGGCCGCCCUGGCAUACACGCCCACGCUGCUCUGGUUCAUGGACUGGGAGAGCAUGGACGCAAACCUGGAUGGCAUCGCCCUGGCAGGGCUGGCACUGUCUGCGUUCGUGCUGGUCACCGGGAGGGCCAACAUGAUCAUCAUGACCCUGCUGUGGAUACUAUACCACUCCAUCGUCAGUGUUGGACAGCUCUGGUACUCUUUUGGCUGGGAGAGUCAGCUCCUGGAGACUGGUUUCCUGGGCAUCUUCCUGUGUCCGCUGUGGAGCCUGGAGCAGUUGCCACGACGAUGCCCACCCUCCCUCAUCUCCAUCUGGACAUUCCGUUGGCUCAUCGUGCGCAUCAUGCUUGGAGCAGGGCUGAUCAAGAUCAGAGGAGACAAAUGCUGGAGAGAUCUCACCUGCAUGGACUACCACUACGAGACUCAGCCGGUUCCUAACCCGAUGUCCUACUACCUGCACUGGUCUCCGUGGUGGUUCCAUCGCUUUGAGACCCUGUCCAACCACGUCAUCGAGCUCGCCGCCCCCUUUCUCACCUUCAUGGGCAGACGCUUGUGUAUGGUCAACGGAGCCCUGCAGAUCCUCUUCCAGGUGGUGUUGAUCGUGAGCGGUAAUCUGAGUUUUCUGAACUGGCUCACCAUCGUGCCCAGUCUCGCCUGCUUCGAUGACGCUUCACUCAGCUUCCUGUUUGGGCGGAGCCAUGGCGGAGCCAGGAGCCAAGUACAGACAAUCCAGGAGGAGGAGUCAGUAGGGAAGGCCCCACCCCCAACAAAAGGUAUGUUGGUGCGGAGAGUGCUGAAUGUGUCUCUGGGCAUUCUGAUUGGCUACCUGAGUGUACCUGUGGUGAUGAACCUGGUCAGUUCCAGACAGGUGAUGAACACCUCGUUUGAGCCGCUCCGCAUCGUCAACACUUACGGAGCCUUUGGCAGCAUCACUAAGGAGCGUACGGAGGUCAUCUUCCAGGGCUCGUUGGCCUCUGACCCUGCUGACCCGGCUGCAGUGUGGGAGGAGUACCAGUUCCACUGCAAACCAGGAGACGUCAGCCGCCGGCCCUGCCUCAUAUCCCCCUACCACUAUCGACUGGACUGGCUCAUGUGGUUCGCAGCCUUCCAGACAUAUGAGCAGAACGAGUGGGUGAUUCAUAUAGCUGGACGUCUGCUGGCCAACGACUCCACUGUGCUGUCACUGGUAGAGAACAACCCCUUUGAAGGAAGAGAGAAGCCCAGGUGGAUCCGUGGCGAGCAUUUCCGCUACAAGUUCACGGUGCCGGGUGGCGCCAGCGCGUCUCAGGGGAAGUGGUGGGCGCGCAAACGCAUCGGGCCCUACUUCCCCCCUGUCAACGCCACCUCCCUCAGGAACUACUUCCAGUCACGCAAGUGGCCCCUCCCAGAGUCCUACUGACCUGCGUUGUGACCUCUGACCCAGGAAGUGUUUCCAACGCUGCAGCAUUAGCAGAAAGGCAGUCUUUCUCCUCUUCCUCAGUGCCAAAGAGGCUGUUGGUUAAAAGAAGAAGUGUUACACUGUGAAGAACUGUCUACAAAUGUCAUGGGUCAAGGUGGACCAUAUGUACACUAAUGAAGCCAAAUGUGUGUCAUAUAUAAAUGGACCAAUAGCAGGGAUGUUAUGUGACUGUGUGUAGAGUUAAUAUAAUGCUAUAGUACCCCAUUUAGUGCUGCCCCCAGCAUGCUGUGCAUUCACUACGCGCUAUAAGACCUUGGUCAUCCUGAGGUCACUUCCUCAUGAUGUAAUUUCCCUUUGUUAUGCAUGGCUCGGCCUACAGCUGUCCGUUUGACACAUUUUCAUGAGCCUGAGUACAUCUCAGCUGUUCUGAGCGUUCUGAUUAUACUGGAAAUGAAGAAACACUUAAACACUAAAAGUUUCCAGUUUGUAAUGUGUGUGUUAUUUUCACAUGUAAAAGUGUCCAGUUUGUAAUGUGUGUGUUAUUUUCAUGUUUUUAUCCUGUGCACGUCCAUGUUGGCCGCUCGUCUCAACCUAGUGAAUGUACAGCCAUUACAUGAACUCACUAAUAAUCAUAUCAUUGGAACAACUCAUUGUGUCAAAUUUUUAGAUGUGCAUGUUGUGUGUGUGAGUCUGUAUGUGUGUGUGUGUGUGUGUGUGUGUGUGCACAUGCGUGUG